rnacentral:rRNA from 1 species
UUAAGCUUCAGUCUAGAGUUGGCCGUACCGCAAACCGACACAGGUGGGCAGGAUGAAAAUUCUAAGGCGCUUGAGAGAACUCAGGAGAAGGAACUCGGCAAAUUAACACCGUAACUUCGGGAGAAGGUGUGCCCCGGUAGCGUGUAGAGACUUGCUCUCGAAGCGCGAUGGGGUUGCAGUGAAAUGGUGGCUGCGACUGUUUAAUAAAAACACAGCACUCUGCAAACACGAAAGUGGACGUAUAGGGUGUGACGCCUGCCCGGUGCCGGAAGGUUAAUUGAUGGGGUGCAAGCUCUUGAUCGAAGCCCCGGUAAACGGCGGCCGUAACAAUAACGGUCCUAAGGUAGCGAAAUUCCUUGUCGGGUAAGUUCCGACCUGCACGAAUGGCGUAACGAUGGCCACACUGUCUCCUCCUGAGACUCAGCGAAGUUGAAAUGUUUGUGAAGAUGCAAUCUACCCGCGGCUAGACGGAAAGACCCCAUGAACCUUUACUGUAGCUUUGCAUUGGACUUUGAACCGGUUUGUGUAGGAUAGGUGGGAGACUGUGAAGCCGGGACGCUAGUUUCGGUGGAGUCAGCCUUGAAAUACCACCCUGAUUUGUUUGAGGUUCUAACCUUGGUCCGUGAAUCCGGAUCGGGGACCGUGCAUGGUAGGCAGUUUGACUGGGGCGGUCUCCUCCCAAAAGGUAACGGAGGAGUACGAAGGUACGCUUAGGGCGGUCGGACAUCGCCCACAAAGUGCAAUGGCAAAAGCGUGCUUGACUGCGAGACCCACAAGUCGAGCAGGUACGAAAGUAGGUCAUAGUGAUCCGGUGGUUCUGUAUGGAAGGGCCAUCGUUCAACGGAUAAAAGGUACUCUGGGGAUAACAGGCUAAUUCCUCCCAAGAGUUCAUAUCGACGGGGGAGUUUGGCACCUCGAUGUCGGCUCAUCACAUCCUGGGGCUGUAGUCGGUCCCAAGGGUAUGGCUGUUCGCCAUUUAAAGUGGUACGCGAGCUGGGUUUAAAACGUCGUGAGACAGUUUGGUCCCUAUCUGCCGUGGGCGCUGGAAAUUUGAAGGGGGCUGCUCCUAGUACGAGAGGACCGGAGUGGACGAACCUCUGGUGUACCGGUUAUGACGCCAGUCGUAUUGCCGGGUAGCUAAGUUCGGAAGAGAUAAACGCUGAAAGCAUCUAAGCGUGAAACUCGCCUUAAGAUUAGAUUUCCCGGAGUCUUGAACUCCCUGAAGGGUCGUCGAAGACCACGACGUUGAUAGGUCAGGUGUGGAAGCGCAGUAAUGCGUUAAGCUAACUGAUACUAAUUGCCCGUGCGGCUUGAUCAC